rnacentral:rRNA from 1 species
GAAUUGACGGGGGCCCGCACAAGCAGUGGAGUAUGUGGUUUAAUUCGAAGCAACGCGAAGAACCUUACCAGGGCUUGACAUCCCUCUGACAGGCGUAGAGAUACGCUCUCUCUUCGGAGCAGAGGAGACAGGUGGUGCAUGGUUGUCGUCAGCUCGUGUCGUGAGAUGUUGGGUUAAGUCCCGCAACGAGCGCAACCCUUGUUGUUAGUUGCCAGCAGUAAGAUGGGCACUCUAACGAGACUGCCGGUGAUAAAUCGGAGGAAGGUGGGGACGACGUCAAAUCAUCAUGCCCCUUAUGACCUGGGCUACACACGUACUACAAUGGCCGUUAACAGAGGGAAGCAAUACCGCGAGGUGGAGCCAAACCCUAAAAGCGGUCUCAGUUCAAAUUGCAGGCUGCAACCCGCCUGCAUGAAGACGGAAUUGCUAGUAAUCGCGGAUCAGCAUGCCGCGGUGAAUACGUUCCCGGGCCUUGUACACACCG